UACGGAGGGGGCUAGCGUUGUUCGGAAUUACUGGGCGUAAAGCGCACGUAGGCGGCUCUGUAAGUUAGAGGUGAAAGCCCGGAGCUCAACUCCGGAAUAGCCUUUAAGACUGCAUCGCUAGAACGUUGGAGAGGUAAGUGGAAUUCCGAGUGUAGAGGUGAAAUUCGUAGAUAUUCGGAAGAACACCAGUGGCGAAGGCGACUUACUGGACAACUGUUGACGCUGAGGUGCGAAAGCGUGGGGAGCAAACAGG
rnacentral:rRNA from 1 species